AUUGAACGCUGGCGGCAUGCCUAACACAUGCAAGUCGAACGGAAACGAUGGGAGCUUGCUCCCAGGCGUCGAGUGGCGGACGGGUGAGUAAUACUUAGGAAUCUACCCAGUAGCGGGGGACAACUCGAGGAAACUCGAGCUAAUACCGCAUACGCCCUACGGGGGAAAGCAGGGGAUCUUCGGACCUUGCACUAUUGGAUGAGCCUAAGUCGGAUUAGCUUGUUGGUGAGGUAAAGGCUCACCAAGGCGACGAUCCGUAGCUGGUCUGAGAGGACGAUCAGCCACACUGGGACUGAGACACGGCCCAGACUCCUACGGGAGGCAGCAGUGGGGAAUAUUGGACAAUGGGGCAACCCUGAUCCAGCAAUGCCGCGUGUGUGAAGAAGGCCUGCGGGUUGUAAAGCACUUUCAGUAGAGAAGAAAAGCCUACGGUUAAUACCCGUAAGUCUUGACGUUACCUACAGAAGAAGCUCCGGCUAACUCCGUGCCAGCAGCCGCGGUAAUACGGAGGGAGCGAGCGUUAAUCGGCAUUACUGGGCGUAAAGCGCGCGUAGGCGGCUUUGUAAGUCGGAUG
rnacentral:rRNA from 2 species